GCUAUAGCUCAGCUGGAUAGAGCGAUCGCCUCCUAAGCGAUAGGUCGAAGGUUCAAAUCCUUUUAGU
rnacentral:tRNA from 1 species